rnacentral:rRNA from 1 species
AGAGUUUGAUCAUGGCUCAGAACGAACGCUGGCGACGCGUCUUAAGCAUGCAAGUCGAACGGCAACACGGGGCAACCUGGUGGCGAGUGGCGAACGGGUGAGUAACACGUAGGUGAACUGCCCUUGGGCUGGGGAUAGCCUGUGGAAACACAGGGUAAUACCGAAUGAGGUCCGGAGAUUUUGAUCACCGGAUGAAAGGGGCUAAGGCCUCGCCUGAGGAUGUGCCUGCGGCUGAUUAGCUAGUUGGUGAGGUAAUGGCUCACCAAGGCGACGAUCAGUAGCCGGCCUGAGAGGGUGGACGGCCACACUGGGACUGAGAUACGGCCCAGACUCCUACGGGAGGCAGCAGCUAAGAAUCUUCCGCAAUGGACGAAAGUCUGACGGAGCGACGUCGCGUGGGUGAUGAAGGCGGAAACGUUGUAAAGCCCUUUUAUAGACGAGGAAUAAGCAUGGGAGGGAAUGCCCGUGUGAUGACGGUAGUCUGUGAAUAAGCCCCGGCUAAUUACGUGCCAGCAGCCGCGGUAACACGUAUGGGGCGAGCGUUGUUCGGAAUUAUUGGGCGUAAAGGGUAUGCAGGCGGUUUGCCAAGUCUGGUGUGUAAGACCUCAGCUUAACUGAGGGAACGCGCCGGAAACUGGCAGACUAGAGUACAGGAAGGGGAGUUGGAAUUCCAGGUGUAGGGGUGAAAUCUGUAGAUAUCUGGAAGAACAUCAGUGGCGAAGGCGAACUCCUGGCCAUGUACUGACGCUGAGAUACGAAAGCGUGGGGAGCAAACAGGAUUAGAUACCCUGGUAGUCCACGCCGUAAACGAUGUGCACUAGGUGUUGGGGUUUUUGACCUCAGUGCCGUAGCUAACGCGUUAAGUGCACCGCCUGGGGAGUAUGCUCGCAAGGGUGAAACUCAAAGGAAUUGACGG